GACGAACGCUGGCGGCGUGCCUAAUACAUGCAAGUCGAACGAGAGCGACCGGUGCUUGCACUGGUCAAUCUAGUGGCGAACGGGUGAGUAACACGUGGGUAACCUGCCCAUCAGAGGGGGAUAACAUCCGGAAACGGAUGCUAAAACCGCAUAGGUCUUCGAACCGCAUGGUUUGAAGAGGAAAAGAGGCGCAAGCUUCUGCUGAUGGAUGGACCCGCGGUGCAUUAGCUAGUUGGUGAGGUUACGGCUCACCAAGGCCGUGAUGCAUAGCCGACCUGAGAGGGUGAUCGGCCACAUUGGGACUGAGACACGGCCCAAACUCCUACGGGAGGCAGCAGUAGGGAAUCUUCCGCAAUGGACGCAAGUCUGACGGAGCAACGCCGCGUGAGUGAAGAAGGUUUUCGGAUCGUAAAACUCUGUUGUUAGAGAAGAACAAGUGCUAGAGUAACUGUUAGCGCCUUGACGGUAUCUAACCAGAAAGCCACGGCUAACUACGUG
rnacentral:rRNA from 1 species